GGGUGCGAUCAUACCAGCAUUAAUGCACCAGAUCCCAUUAGAACUCCAUAGUUAAGCGCACUUGUGCUAGAGUAGUACUCAGAUGGGUGACCUCCUGGGAAUUCCUAGUGUUGCACCCU
rnacentral:rRNA from 1 species